rnacentral:rRNA from 1 species
AUUCCUACGGGAGGCAGCAGUGGGGAAUAUUGGACAAUGGGGGGAACCCUGAUCCAGCCAUGCCGCGUGUGUGAAGAAGGCCUUAUGGUUGUAAAGCACUUUAAGCGAGGAGGAGGCUACUGAGACUAAUACUCUUGGAUAGUGGACGUUACUCGCAGAAUAAGCACCGGCUAACUCUGUGCCAGCAGCCGCGGUAAUACAGAGGGUGCGAGCGUUAAUCGGAUUUACUGGGCGUAAAGCGUGCGUAGGCGGCUUUUUAAGUCGGAUGUGAAAUCCCCGAGCUUAACUUGGGAAUUGCAUUCGAUACUGGGAAGCUAGAGUAUGGGAGAGGAUGGUAGAAUUCCAGGUGUAGCGGUGAAAUGCGUAGAGAUCUGGAGGAAUACCGAUGGCGAAGGCAGCCAUCUGGCCUAAUACUGACGCUGAGGUACGAAAGCAUGGGGAGCAAACAGGAUUAGAUACCCUGGUAGUCCACGCCGUAAACGAUGAAUGCCAGACGUCGGGCAGCAUGCUGUUCGGUGUCACACCUAACGGAUUAAGCAUUCCGCCUGGGGAGUACGGUCGCAAGAUUAAAACUCAAAGGAAUUGACGGAAU